CCUACGGGCGACAGCAGUGAGGAAUAUUGGUCAAUGGACGAGAGUCUGAACCAGCCAAGUAGCGUGAAGGAUGACUGCCCUAUGGGUUGUAAACUUCUUUUAUAAAGGAAUAAAACGAGGCACGUGUGCCUUUUUGCAUGUACUUUAUGAAUAAGGAUCGGCUAACUCCGGGCCAGCAGCCGCGGUAAUACGGAGGAUCCGAGCGUUAUCCGGAUUUAUUGGGUUUAAAGGGAGCGUAGAUGGGUUGUUAAGUCAGUUGUGAAAGUUUGCGGCUCAACCGUAAAAUUGCAAUUGAUACUGGCAGUCGUGAGUAGAGUUGAGGUAGGCGGAAUUCGUGGUGUAGCGGUGAAAUGCUUAGAUAUCACGAAGAACCCCGAUUGCGAAGGCAGCUUACUAAACUGUGACUGACAUUGAUGCUCGAAAGUGUGGGUAUCAAACAGGAUUAGAUACCCCGGUAGUC
rnacentral:rRNA from 1 species